UUUUUGGUGUGGUAACGGCUCACCAAGGAAACGAUGCAUAGUCUACCUGAGAGGGUGAUCGGCCACACUGGGACUGAGACACGGUCCAUACUCCUACGGGAGGCAGCAGUAGGGAAUCUUCGGCAAUGGACGAAAGUCUGACCGAGCAACGCCGCGUGAGUGAAGAAGGUUUUCGGAUCGUAAAACUCUGUUGUUAGAGAAGAACAAGGACGUUAGUAACUGUAUUGUCCCCUGACGGUAUCUAACCAGAAAGCCACGGCUAACUACGUGCCAGCAGCCGCGGUAAUACGUAGGUGGCAAGCGUUGUCCGGAUUUAUUGGGCGUAAAGCGAGCGCAGGCGGUUUCUUAAGUCUGAUGUGAAAGCCCCCGGCUCAACCGGGGGAGGGUCAUUGGAAACUGGGAGACUUGAGUGCAGAAGAGGAGAGUGGAAUUCCAUGUGUAGCGGUGAAAUGCGUAGAUAUAUGGAGGAACACCAGUGGCGAAGGCGGCUCUCUGGUCUGUAACUGACGCUGAGGCUCGAAAGCGUGGGGAGCAAACAGGAUUAGAUACCCUGGUAGUCCACGCCGUAAACGAUGAGUGCUAAGUGUUGGAGGGGUUUCCGCCCUUCAGUGCUGCAAGCAAACGCAUUAAGCACUCCGCCUGGGGGAGUACGACCGCAAGGUUGAAACUCAAAAGGAAUUGACGGGGGGCCCGCACAAGCGGUGGAGCAUGUGUUUAAUUCGAAGCAACGCGCACGCACGUUAGCAGGGUCUUG
rnacentral:rRNA from 1 species